rnacentral:rRNA from 1 species
CCUACGGGAGGCUGCAGUGGGGAAUAUUGGACAAUGGGGGCAACCCUGAUCCAGCCAUGCCGCGUGUGUGAAGAAGGCCCUCGGGUUGUAAAGCACUUUCAGUGAGGAAGAACGCCUGGUGGUUAAUACCCAUCAGGAAAGACAUCACUCACAGAAGAAGCACCGGCUAACUCCGUGCCAGCAGCCGCGGUAAUACGGAGGGUGCGAGCGUUAAUCGGAAUUACUGGGCGUAAAGCGCGCGUAGGUGGCUUGAUAAGCCGGUUGUGAAAGCCCCGGGCUCAACCUGGGAGCGGCAUCCGGAACUGUCAAGCUAGAGUGCAGGAGAGGAAGGUAGAAUUCCCGGUGUAGCGGUGAAAUGCGUAGAGAUCGGGAGGAAUACCAGUGGCGAAGGCGGCCUUCUGGACUGACACUGACACUGAGGUGCGAAAGCGUGGGUAGCAAACAGGAUUAGAUACCCUUGUAGUC